rnacentral:rRNA from 1 species
UGGGGAAUCUUCCGCAAUGGGCGAAAGCCUGACGGAGCAACGCCGCGUGAGUGAAGACGGCCUUCGGGUUGUAAAGCUCUGUUAUAUGGGACGAACGGGCGUAUGGUCAAUACCCAUACGCCGUGACGGUACCGUAAGAGAAAGCCACGGCUAACUACGUGCCAGCAGCCGCGGUAAUACGUAGGUGGCAAGCGUUGUCCGGAAUCAUUGGGCGUAAAGGGCGCGCAGGCGGUUCGGUAAGUCGGUCUUAAAAGUGCGGGGCUUAACCCCGUGAUGGGAUUGAAACUGCCGGACUGGAGCGUCGGAGAGGAAAGCAGAAUUCCUAGUGUAGCGGUGAAAUGCGUAGAUAUUAGGAGGAAUACCAGUGGCGAAAGCGGCUUUCUGGACGACAACUGACGCUGAGGCGCGAAAGCCAGGGGAGCAAACGGGAUUAGAUACCCCGGUAGUCCUGGCCGUAAACGAUGGAUACUAGGUGUAGGAGGUAUCGACCCCUUCUGUGCCGGAGUUAACGCAAUAAGUAUCCCGCCUGGGGAGUACGGCCGCAAGGUUGAA